rnacentral:rRNA from 1 species
GUUAAAAAGCUCGUAGUUGGAUUUCUGUCCGAGGCAGCCGGUCCGCACCUGGUGCGUGUAUCAGGUUUGACUAGGGCAUCCUCUUGGGGAACGUUUCUGUGCUUCAUUGCAUGGGACGGAAUUCAAGACUUUUACUUUGAGGAAAUUAGAGUGUUCACGGCAAGCUAUCGCUUUGAAUACAUUAGCAUGGAAUAAUAAUAUAGGGCGUAAGUCUUAUUUUGUUGGUUUCUAGGACAUACGCAAUGAUUAAUAGGGACAAUUGGGGGCAUUCGUAUUAACGCGUCAGAGGUGGAAUUCUUAGAUUGCGUUACGACGAACUACUGCGAAAGCAUUUGCCAAGGAUGUUUUCAUUGAUCAAGAACGAAAGUAUGGGGAUCGAAGACGAUUAGAUACCGUCGUAGUCUAUACCAUAAACUAUGCCAAUUAGAGAUUGGAGGUCGUUCGUUUUAUGACUCCUUCAGCACCUUAUGAGAAAUCAAAAUUUUUGGGUUCCGGGGGGAGUAUGGUCGCAAGGCUGAAACUUAAAGGAAUUGACGGAAGGGCACCACCAGGAGUGGAGCCUGCGGCUUAAUUUGACUCAACACGGGAAAACUUACCAGGUCCAGACAUAGUA